UUCAUCCGUUCGUUCUCUCUCCACGUCGGUCUCUCUCUUUUCUUUCCUUCGAAGACCGUCUUUAGCUUCUGUUUUCAUUUUCCUUUUUCCUUUGACGCCGCAGCUUCUCUCUCUCUCUCUCUCUUGCUGCCCUUCUCCUCCACCGUUCGAACUCCAGCACUCAUCUCACGCCACCUGCUCCACCAUUUUUGGUUUCCCUCGGUCAACUCCAGCAGAAUUCUCCAAGUGAAGCCCAUUUGUUGACUCCGCAAGCCGCUCCACGCGUCCAAGCAUCCCCACCGAACAGCUCAGCCCCACGAUCAACUCCCCCUCAAUGCUUCUGCUUCAAUUUCAUUUUUCCUUGCCACGUCCGAACCACUACCACCACCGACUGUCCCCCACAUCGUGUCUUCCUUGCGGCUUCCCACCGAAUCAACAUAUCUAGCCCGAAGUUGACUCUAGUAAUCCACCGAAGCUGCUUCUUCGUAUGCUUCCGUCGACGCCAGCACACGGGUCACCAAGCCAGCGAAUUCUUUCGAAGUGGUCCAGUCCACCGAAGUCCCAUUUCCAUCGAAGACCUGCAGCUCACGCGAACUCAGUCAAGCCCAGCGGCCCAUCUCCACUGAGUCGCAAGCUUCAGCCCGUGCAAGUCAAUUCCAGCAGCUCAGCCUCCGCAAGCCCAGCCCGCAAGUCCAGAAAUUGAGCCCCUGCAGCCCGUGAAAUCAGCCCAGCCCAUGCGUCUCAGCCCAUCACUUAAAGCUCAGCCAAGCCCAGCAGUUGCUGUGGGCUUUACAAGGCCUUUUGGGCCCGGCCCAAGUGUCCAUAGACGCCGCCGAAAGUUCGGGUUUCAGCCGCCGUCGCGUCGCCAUCACGGUGUUCCGGUCUUCGCUUUUCACAAGUCCCUAGAUGGCAAAACCUGAAGAGGAGUACCUAGAGGAGAACCCUGAGGAUGAUCCAGAGUAGGAUCCUGAUGAUGAUUGAGACUCCACUCCUGUCUGAUGACUUUUGGCUGUGGAACCUGUUUGAGUAGAACUCGACUUUUUAGUAUGGCUUGUAUAUGUAUAUAUAUGACUGAGUUGUAUAUAAGUAUAUAAGUGUGUUGAUUUUCAGGUUCAA